AGUGGCAGACGGGUGAGUAACAUGUGGGUAUCUACCCUUUGGCCUGGAAUAACACGAGGAAACUUGUGCUAAUACCGGAUAAGUCUUUACGGAGAAAGCUUUAUGCACCAUUGGAUGAGCCCGCACUUGAUUAGUUUGUUGGUAGGGUAAUGGCCUACCAAGACUAUGAUCAAUAGCUGAUUUGAGAGGAUGAUCAGCCACAUUGGGACUGAGACACGGCCCAAACUCCUACGGGAGGCAGCAGUGGGGAAUCUUGCACAAUGGAGGAAACUCUGAUGCAGCGAUGCCGCGUGAGUGAAGAAGGCCUUUGGGUUGUAAAGCUCUUUCGUCGGGGAAGAAAAUGACUGUACCCGAAUAAGAAGGUCCGGCUAACUUCGUGCCAGCAGCCGCGGUAAUACGAAGGGACCUAGCGUAGUUCGGAAUUACUGGGCUUAAAGAGUUCGUAGGUGGUUGAAAAAGUUGGUGGUGAAAUCCCAGAGCUUAACUCUGGAACUGCCAUCAAAACUUUUCAGCUAGAGUAUGAUAGAGGAAAGCAGAAUUUCUAGUGUAGAGGUGAAAUUCGUAGAUAUUAGAAAGAAUACCAAUUGCGAAAGCAGCUUUCUGGAUCAUUACUGACACUGAGGAACGAAAGCAUGGUAGCGAGAGGAUUAGAUACCCUCGUAGUCAUGCCGA
rnacentral:rRNA from 1 species